rnacentral:rRNA from 1 species
CAAUAGCGUAUAUUAAAGUUGUUGCGGUAAAAAAGCUCGUAGUUGGAUUUCUACCGAAGAUAGCCGGUCGGGUCUUCGACCUUGUAUCUGGUUUUGUCUUUGGUAUCCUCAUAGGGAACGUUUCUGCGCUUUAUUGCGUGGUGCGGUAUCUAUGACUUUUACUUUGAGGAAAUUAGAGUGCUCACGGCAGGCAAACGCCUUGAAUAUAUUAGCAUGGAAUAAUAACAUAGGAUCUUCGUCCUAUUUUGUUGGUUUCUAGGGCUAAGAUAAUGAUUAAUAGGGAUAAUUGGGGGCAUCUGUAUCAACGCGUCAGAGGUGGAAUUCUUGGAUUGCGUUGCGACAAACUACUGCGAAAGCAUUUGCCAAGGAUGUUUUCAUUGA